AUUCACAAAUAAUAUUCACCAAUAAUGGAAUACAGUGCUUGGAAGCAACAUGAAUAACAGACCUAAUAAGAGCAUACUGUGAAUUUUACUGCCACAGCAUCAGAUUCAAUUAUUAAUAGUUUUCUGUAUGAUUUCCACAGGUGGCAACAUGGAUUAUGGAAGAGCAGAAUGUUUCUGGAACUAUUAUCUUUUUUCAUCUCUGUAUCAUUUAAAUGAAAAUACAGCUAAUGAAGAACAGAUGCUGCCCCAGAUGUGGAAAAUGCAGAUGUUUGCCAGCUUCCGGAUAACUCCAAAUUCGUAACUGCACACAGCAUUCUACAGAUCUCUCAGUUUGAUUUUUUAGGGGAAAAAAAACCCUCCCCUCCCAAAAAAUGUGUUAAGUAUUUUCUUUCAUUUUUUAUACAUGACUUGGAGAUCACGUUUGAGACAUGAAAAGCAGACCCAAUUUUAGUUCCCACAUGAAGAUAUUAAAAAUUGUUGAUUUUGUAUGCAAAUAUACGAGACUAUAAUCAGUGUUCCAUAUUUUGAGCUAAAAAAUAAUAAAUGUUCAUUGCCUGAAAUUUUAGUAAGCACUGACAUGACAUAAAAUGUUAAACAUGUAAGUCAUUGUCUUAGGUCUAAAGAAGUUUAUCAUCUGAAGUCCCAGUAGUCAUAACUUAGGUGUAUAUGGAGAUACAUGUUUAUUCAAGUGUGUGCAGAUGAAUAUGUAUAUAUGUACAUAUGUUUAUCCACAAAGACAGUAUAUGCUGAAGGAAGUAGAGGAUAAUUUUAAAACAAAAUAAAAGUUAGUAGAGAACAGGCCAAAUAAAAGGUACAAUAUCUGUUGUCACAAAUAUAUAGUGACUUAUGAUGUCAGAGCAAAAUCCACAUAAAAUAGACCCAGCUAAAGGAAAAGAAUCUGGCUGUAUUUAAGCAGUUAAUUUAGCAGACACUAAUAGUUCAAAUAUUGGAAUGCCUGUGCUGGGUGAUAUGGAGUUAGAAAUGAAUAUUUAUAAAUAUGAUGAAGAGAUGGUUUAUAGUAAGUGGUGGUAGAGUAGAUGCAUAAAGUCAUAUAAUAAUACCAUACAGAAAACUGCUUAGUAGACAAAGAAAAAACUAAAGGAGUAUCAGGAGGAAUUCUUCCAUUUUAAAAAAAUGAAAGGAAAUGGAAUGGAUGAGUUAGAAUUUGAGCUCAGACCUAAUAGAAUGGGAAGGUUUAAAAAAGAGUAGUUGCUUCCAUUAUUUUCAUGUGGGACUAACUAAGGAGCAAUAAUUGGUUAUCAGGAGCAUUAAAGAUGGACUUCUUGUCCAGAAGCUAUAGUUUCAAUAUCUGCCCCUCCAUUUUCACUUGAGUUUUAUAUAUUUGAGAUAUUUGACAUAGACCAAGAAAUGGUUAAAUCUCACCCUACUCUGUGCUAUCCCUACACAAAGAAGCUCACAAGGGUGUAAGGUAGGGGAUGACAGGUUACAUUCAGAAAAUAGGGAUUAAUUUAUCCUGGUAAGAAAUUGGAGUAUAUGCAUAAUAAUAGUAGAAUAUAUAGAUUAGAGAAAAAAGUGUAGGUGAAGAUAAGAGAAAAGGUGGGUCAAUAAACCCAGGUUAGAAGCACUUGGGUGGUUUAGUGGGUUAAGUGUCUACCUUUGGCUCAGGUCAUGAUCUCAGGGUCCUAGGAUCUAGCCAUGGGGCUCCUUGCUUAGCAGGGAGUCUGCUUCUCCCUCUCCCUCCACUUCUUCCCCUAGCUCAUGCAGGCACACACACACACUCUCUGUCAAAUAAAUAACAAUCUUAAAUAAAAAAUAAAACCAGGUUAGGAUUUUUAAUCUUUGUUCUUGAGACAGUAUAGAACAUUUAUUUUUCUUCUAAUUCCCCCACCCCCACCCAAGCAAUAGGAAGGAAUGAUCAGAUAGUUUGGAUAGACUGGUAAAGAGAAAAACUAGGGGCAGCCGGGGUGGCUCAGUGGUUUAGCGCCUGCCUUUGGCCCAGGGCGUGAUCCUGGAGAGUCGGGAUCGAGUUCCAAGUCGGACUCCCUGCAUGGAGCCUGCAUCUCUCUCUGCCUGUGUCUCCGCCUCUCUGAAUAAUUAAAUAAAAUCAAAAAAAAAAAAAAAAAAGAGAGAGAGAGAGAGAGAGAGAGAAACACCAUAAUUUGAGAGAUCAUUUAGAAGCCUAGUCAACAGUCCUAGUUAAGGUUAAAAAAAAUGAAUUAAUGGGGAUCCCUGGGUGGCUCAGCGGUUUGGCACCUGCCUUCUUCAGCCCGGGGCCUGAUCCUGGAGUCCUGGGAUCAAGUCCCGCAUCGGGGUGCCUGCAUGGAGCCUGCUUCUCCCUCUGCCUGUGUCUCUACCUCUCUCUCUCUGUGUCUCUCAUGAAUAAAUAAUUAAAAUCUUUUUAAAAAAUGAAUUCAUGAUAUUUUAGAGUUGGAAUACUAAUUUAGCAAUUGAGUUAGAACACUUCUAUAGUGAAAGGUUUGUAUAAUUGAAGGAUAACUAAGAUUUUAACCUUGGAUAACUAGGGGAAUGACAAUAUCAUCGAUAAUAUGUGAAAAUCUAUAGGAGCUUAUGCUUUAGAAUUUGGUAGUGGAAAAGAUGGUAAAAACUUAUUUUUAGAAUGCUAAUUUGCCAAUAGUGUGUCCAGCAGGCAGUGGCAAAUUUGAAAUUGCAGUUUGAAAGAAUAUUUUCAUUUACCUUAUAGCAGCAAUUAUAAGACAGUAUAGAAAGAAAAUAGAGAAUGGAAAGAUCCAUUAUGUACAUUGUAUGAAAAGAAGAGAAAUCUGAGGAGAAAACAUGUUAGUUCAGUUUCACAGUAGUUUAUGUAAGAGGAAUAUUCAAGAUGAAAUAGAUGAGUAGUGUCGAAUGUUCUAAAAAAAAAAAAUCAGCGAUUGGGAAAAGGUCAUUAUAUUUGCUGGCCAGAUGGUAAGAAAUGAACAGUUGAAUAUUAAUCUAUAAGUUUUUAGCUUAACAGAUGUAUACAGAAAAUUUCAUCCAAAAGCAAUGGAAUACAAAUUCUUCUUAAGUGCACAUGAAACAUGCUCCAGGAUAAAUGAUAUGUUAGGUCACAAAACAAGUCUAAGAAGAUUGAAAUCCUAUCAAGCAUCUUUUCAACCAUAGUGGUAUAGAACUAGAAAUCAAUUACAAGAAGAAAACUAUAAAAUUUACAAAUAUGUAGAAAUUAAACAGCUACUGAAUAACCA
rnacentral:lncRNA from 1 species